rnacentral:lncRNA from 1 species
ACUGAUAAAUCACAUAUUGCCAGUUCCUCUGCUACUCCCUUUAUUUCAGCAAAUAAUUCUCAGUGCCCUGGGAUGCCUACUUUAGGCUCCCCCAAUAGUACCCAGACUGGUUCUCCUGCUACGCCUGUUUAGGGACUACUUAAGAAGGUUACAUCUUCCACUGGUCCCUGGUCCAAGUCUUUGCUUCAGCAGGCCAGCAUGGUGGAUAAGUUAACGCAGGAUGUUGUUGGCAAUACUCUUUCUGAUGAAGACCUUAGAAGAAGCAGAAGGACUGCUAAUCACAACAAAGGAUUCAAAGGUUCUGGAUGUAAAGAUAAAAAUUGCAUUGGGUGUUCGGUAAAGCCACCUUU